GCGUCUUUGUCCGAGGUCAGCCAACUAUAAAUCAUGAUACGUAUCACGUAUCACGUACCGUAACUGGCUAUGACUGGCGUAAGCCGUACUUUGACCGCAGUCUUUCCGAACUUGCAACACGAAACCGAGACAUCCGGGACAUUCUAGAUUUUCUAGAACCAUCGAACCUAUCACAUGACGAACAUGUGCGACGUGUGACGUUUCUCUAUUUUUGGCACGCACGUGAGCGAGCCAAUCACAGCCGAGGAAUUAGUACCGCGUGACGAGGAGUAUAAAUACGGCAGACGCCGCAGUCAUCGCCAUAACUCGACAAAGACUGAAUCUUAUUUCACCGUUACAUUACAUUGCUGUGCUUCUGCGUUAUUGAAUUGCAAAAAUGCAGAUAUUUGUGAAAACCCUCACUGGUAAGACUAUCACCCUUGAGGUAGAGGCAAGUGAUUCUAUCGAAAAUGUGAAGGCCAAGAUCCAAGACAAAGAGGGAAUCC